GUGGGGAAUAUUCCGCAAUGGACGAAAGUCUGACGGAGCAACGCCGCGUGAGUGAUGAAGGUUUUCGGACUGUAAAGCUCUGUUGUUUAGGACGAAAGUGCCUGUUGCAAAUAGUUACAGGUAUUGACGGUACUGAACGAGGAAGCCACGGCUAACUACGUGCCAGCAGCCGCGGUAAUACGUAGGUGGCAAGCGUUGUCCGGAAUUAUUGGGCGUAAAGAGCAUGUAGGCGGGAAUCUAAGUCUGUUGUGAAAAUGCGGGGCUCAACCCCGUAGUGCGAUGGAAACUGGGUUUCUUGAGUGCAGGAGAGGAAAGGGGAAUUCCCAGUGUAGCGGUGAAAUGCGUAGAUAUUGGGAGGAACACCAGUGGCGAAGGCACCUUUCUGGACUGUGUCUGACGCUGAGAUGCGAAAGCCAGGGUAGCGAACGGGAUUAGAAACCCGGGUAGUCC
rnacentral:rRNA from 1 species